UGAAAUGGGGGAACCCUGAUCCAGCAAUGCCGCGUGAGUGAUGAAGGCCUUCGGGUUGUAAAGCUCUUUUAUCGGGGACGAUGAUGACGGUACCCGAUGAAUAAGCUCCGGCUAACUUCGUGCCAGCAGCCGCGGUAAUACGAGGGGAGCUAGCGUUGUUCGGAAUUACUGGGCGUAAAGGGCGCGUAGGCGGUACUAUAAGUCAGAUGUGAAAGCCCUGGGCUUAACCUAGGAGGUGCAUUUGAAACUGUAGAACUAGAGAUCGAGAGAGGAAAGUGGAAUUACGAGUGUAGAGGUGAAAUUCGUAGAUAUUCGUAAGAACACCAGUGGCGAAGGCGACUUUCUGGCUCGAUACUGACGCUAAGGCGCGAAAGCGUGGGGAGCAAACAGGAUUAGAUACCCUGGUAGUCCACGCCGUAAACGAUGAGUGCUAGUUGUCGGCAUGCAUGCAUGUCGGUGACGCAGCUAACGCAUUAAGCACUCCGCCUGGGGAGUACGGUCGCAAGAUUAAAACUCAAAAAAAUUGACGGA
rnacentral:rRNA from 1 species